rnacentral:rRNA from 1 species
UCGGAGAGGGAGCCUGAGAAACGGCUACCACAUCUAAGGAAGGCAGCAGGCGCGUAAAUUACCCAAUCCUGACACAGGGAGGUAGUGACAAGAAAUAUCAAUAUAAGACGUUUCUGUCUUGUAAUUGGGAUGAGCGAAACAUAAACCGCUUCUCGAGUAUCAAUUGGAGGGCAAGUCUGGUGCCAGCAGCCGCGGUAAUUCCAGCUCCAAUAGCGUAUAUUAAAAUUGUUGCGGUUAAAACGCUCGUAGUUGGAUAUCUGCCAAGGAGUUUCGGUCCUCCCCAGUGGAGAAUACGCGGAACAUUUCUUGGCACUUGUUCAGGGAAGGUGUUUGCACUUUGUUGUGCGUCACGUGAUCUGAAUUUUUACUUUGAGGAAAUGAGAGUGUUUCAAGCAGGCUUUUGCCAUGAAUAUGAUAGCAUGGAAUAAUAGCACAGGACCCCUUUCCAAAGCUGUUGGUUUUUGGAACGAGGUAAUCAUAAUAAGGACAGUUGGGGGUAUUCGUAUUUAACUGUCAGAGGUGAAAUUCUUGGAUUUUUUAAAGACGAACUAUUGCGAAGGCAUCUGCCCAGGAUGUUUUUGUUGAUCAAGAACGAAAGUUAGGGGAUCGAAGACGAUCAGAUACCGUCCUAGUCUUAACCUUAAACUAUGCCGACUGGAGAUUGGAGUCGUCAGUCCUUGACGUCUUCAGCAUCCUGAGAGAAAUCUAAGUCUUUGGGUUCCGGGGGGAGUAUGGUCGCAAGGCUGAAACUUAAAGGAAUUGACGGAAGGGCACCACCAGGAGUGGAGCCUGCGGCUUAAUUUGACUCAACACGGGGAAACUUACCAGGUCCAGACAUAGAUAGGAUUGACAGACUGAUAGCUCUUUCUUAAUUCUAUGGGUGGUGGUGCAUGGCCGUUCUUAGUUGGUGGAGUGAUUUGUCUGGUUAAUUCCGUUAACGAACGAGACCUUAACCUGCUAAAUAGUUUCCAAAACUUCGGUUUUCGGCUUACUUCUUAGAGGGACUUCGUGUGUUUAACAUGAGGAAGUUUGAGGCAAUAACAGGUCUGUGAUGCCCUUAGAUGUCCUGGGCUGCACGCGCGCUACACUGAUGUGUCCAGUAAGCACCUAACCUCAUCCGAAGGGAUCGGGUAACCUUUGCAACGCACAUCGUGAUGGGGAUAGAUUAUUGCAAUUAUUAGUCUUGAACGAGGAAUUCCUAGUAAGCACAAGUCAUCAGCUUGUGUUGAUUACGUCCCUGCCCUUUGUACACACCGCCCGUCGCUCCUACCGAUUGAAUGGUCCGGUGAAUACUUCGGACUGUGAAAUGUUUAGUUUCUAUCCAUUUCACGGAAAGUUGAAUAAACCUUAUCAUUUAGAGGAAGGAGAAGUCGUAACAAGGUAGCCGUA